UACGUAGGGGGCGAGCGUUGUCCGGAUUCAUUGGGCGUAAAGGGCGCGUAGGCGGCGGGGUAAGUCGGGUGUGAAAUCUCAGAGCUCAACUCUGAAACUGCACUCGAUACUGCUCUGCUUGAGGACUGGAGAGGAGACUGGAAUUCACGGUGUAGCAGUGAAAUGCGUAGAUAUCGUGAGGAAGACCAGUGGCGAAGGCGGGUCUCUGGACAGUUCCUGACGCUGAGGCGCGAAGGCCAGGGGAGCAAACGGG
rnacentral:rRNA from 1 species